UUAUACUGACGUUAGUAUAAGAUGGCGGCUGUGCUUGUUCAUGCUUGACGGCCUCUCUCGGUUAUUGCGUCUAUUUUUUCUCAAUCGUACCUUCAAUUCCGAUUAAAAAGACAAUUUAUGCGGUGUAAACGCAACCAUCGACUCAAGUCAACAUAUUCAGUGUGUUUUUAUAUUAGAGUAUUAUAGUAAUUUGUGAAAAGUGUGUGUCCCCAUGUAUUUGAAGACAGUCUGAGAAUUACCUGUGCUGAUGCGUUGAAAUCAAACGUCUAAGGGCUGCGGGGAGGGAACGGAAUUUCUUUGUUCAUUCCAAUUCUUCUUUUCCAUUGGGCAUAAUUGAUGUCAAAUUGAGCUGCAUUUUACCAUGAUGGAUAGCAGUAAGCAGGCAUUUUAAGCUAUAACAGCCACAUUAGCACACAUGAAUUUUGACAAUUUAGUGAUAAAAACUUGCACUAAAAAGAUAAAAAAUCUGAUCCUGAGUCGCCAGAAGUAUUCGACACCUCAUGCUUCUUUAUGGGAUAGCUCGGGUGCUCUUUGUUUCGACUCUAAGAAAAACGCCUCUCAUGGCAAUCUGGAAAGUUUUUCCCGCACAUUUGGUCAUACUGACCUGAUUGUCGAUCUCGCCAUGUACUCCUGUAAUAUCUAAUGAUUUUUACAUAACUAAUGUAACGUGGUAGAUUUUUACUCGCAUAAAAAUGCUCCAGUUAGCCCGCCCUUUUCCCUUGACGGUCCGAAAACGGAACAAAUGCUCUGAAGGGAGCCAGUUGUUUUUUUGUUUCGACGGGAACAACAAAUCGAAAAACGUACUCGAAGCGGAUAACUCACGACGAUGAACCAAAAUUCUAACUUAAAACGUAAAUAUAGGAAAACUUAAACUAAAGGGUCAAGGGAAAGGUGGUAAAUGCUCAGGAUGUAGGUUGUGGAGAGAGGGGUGGUUCGGGGUAUGCUGGUCACUGGACUAUAUUAACUUCAUCUCUUGAUAAUAAUAACCUUAAAUAUAAUAAUUUCUCGAAUAUUCCAUAGUUUAAUAAGAAACGCAAAUAUAACCCCAAUAAUUUUCGAGAGAGAUAGAUCUUACAAAUUAUUGAUCAUUCCAUUUAUUUUAAGGAAUGCAGCGUAUCGUAGGCAGAGAGAGACCGAAACUGCUUUUAUCCGUCUAAUCUAAUCCAUUAAAUUCAUAAAAAACCAAAUAGAACAAAAGAAAAUAUAAUGAUCCUACUGUCGGGCUAAAUACUAUUAAUUUACCCGAAAAUAACGUAACGAUCAAUGAUUUCAACUCAUUCCUGAUCGGUACAUUAAAUAAAUCCGAACAACAAAUUCCGAGGCGUUAUAAACGCAAUUAAUAACAGAAAAUCCUAGCGCAGCAUAAUUUAUGAAGCAUACGGGCUCCGAGAGCAUAGUCGAACACAGAGCAGCUAGAACGACGGACGCGGGCCUUUUGUUAAAAUCAUGUAUCCCCGGAGACAAAGCUGAGUGAGCCCAGAGGAUCGUGGGGGUUUAGAGCCAACCACCUAACUGAGCUCAAGGCUACGAUUGGUCCCCUAGUCCUAUUUGUGGAACAGGCCCCUCAUCCUGACUCUUAAGGUAAAAUAGAAGAAUGAUUGUAAGGCAGUUCGACCUCAGACGCCUAAAAGUUAUGUUAAGCCUACAACUUACGAAUAAAUUUUCAAUAAUAUAAUCUCGCUAAA